AGUGAACGCUGGCGGUAGGCCUAACACAUGCAAGUCGAACGGCAGCACAGUAAGAGCUUGCUCUUACGGGUGGCGAGUGGCGGACGGGUGAGGAAUACAUCGGAAUCUACUUUUUCGUGGGGGAUAACGUAGGGAAACUUACGCUAAUACCGCAUACGACCUACGGGUGAAAGCAGGGGAUCUUCGGACCUUGCGCGAUUGAAUGAGCCGAUGUCGGAUUAGCUAGUUGGCGGGGUAAAGGCCCACCAAGGCGACGAGCCGUAGCUGGUCUGAGAGGAUGAGCAGCCACACUGGAACUGAGACACGGUCCAGACUCCUACGGGAGGCAGCAGUGGGGAAUAUUGGACAAUGGGCGCAAGCCUGAUCCAGCCAUACCGCGUGGGUGAAGAAGGCCUUCUGGUUGUAAAGCCCUUUUGUUGGGAAAGAAAAGCAGCAGGUUAAUACCCCGCUGUUCUGACGGUACCCAAAGAAUAAGCACCGGCUAACUUCGUG
rnacentral:rRNA from 1 species